rnacentral:tRNA from 1 species
ACUAUUUUGGCAGAAAAAAUGUUCUAGAUUUAGGUUCUAGUUAUAUGAAUAUAUUCAUAGGUAGUA